rnacentral:rRNA from 1 species
CAGCCGCCGCGGUAAUACAGAGGGUGCGAGCGUUAAUCGGAUUUACUGGGCGUAAAGCGUGCGUAGGCGGCUUCUUAAGUCGGAUGUGAAACCCCUGAGCUUAACUUAGGAAUUGCAUUCGAUACUGGGAAGCUAGAGUAUGGGAGAGGAUGGUAGAAUUCCAGGUGUAGCGGUGAAAUGCGUAGAGAUCUGGAGGAAUACCGAUGGCGAAGGCAGCCAUCUGGCCUAAUACUGACGCUGAGGUACGAAAGCAUGGGGAGCAAACAGGAUUAGAUACCCGCGUAGUCCCUGUCUCUUAUAC